rnacentral:rRNA from 1 species
AUUGAACGCUGGCGGCAGGCCUAACACAUGCAAGUCGAACGAGUGGCGGACGGGUGAGUAAUGUCUGGGAAACUGCCUGAUGGAGGGGGAUAACUACUGGAAACGGUAGCUAAUAACGCAUACCAUCAGAUGUGCCCAGGUGGGAUUAGCUAGUAGGUGGGGUAAUGGCUCACCUAGGCAACGAUCCCUAGCUGGUCUGAGAGGAUGACCAGCCACAGUGGAACUGAGACACGGUCCAGACUCCUACGGGAGGAAGCAGUGGGGAAUAUUGGACAAUGGGCGAAAGCCUGAUGCAGCCAGGCCGCGUGUGUGAAGAAGGCCUUCGGGUUGUAAAGUACUUUAAGCGAGGAGGCGUUACUCGCAGAAGAAGCACCGGCUAACUCCGUGCCAGCAGCCGCGGUAAUAC